ACACACACCCCUUUAUUAUGAUGGCUGGUUCGUGUUGCUAUAGUAACCCCUGGCCUCUUAGGACACCGAUGGUUACACAUGACAAUGACGAAAAUAUCAGGUUACAAGGGCAGACAGCAGGGUAAAACAUCCUGUGCCUCGGACACCCAAUGCCCCGGAACAGAGCGUCCCUCCUCCGGCUUUGGAAGGAGAGCGCGGGGCUGAGGGGAGGGAAGGGAGGAGGAGAACAUCCCAGAACAUCGCAGGACUACCAGUGAUGGGCUUCUCUCUACUGAACAAGUCUGGUCCUCAUUCAGCAAAGGAUCCUUCCCACCUUUCAUCCAAGGAUUCCUAACCUUUCUACAGUGAUUGAACCUACUACUUAGCUUAUAAUCUGUUUGCAUAGUCUCAAGAACCCAGGGUCACUUCCAUUUCAAGAUGACAUGCUCUACAUCCUAUAUUCUAGAAGAAUUGAAGUAGCAAUGGGAUUCCAAAUGUCCUUCACCAUCCCCUGCUGUGGAUGCAAACCUCAGCCUGUCCUCCAGGCUCUAUCUCUCAAAGUCGGGAUCAUUCCUCUAUCACAGAUGUGGAAGGCAAAGGAGAAGAAAGGAGAAAGGUUAGAAGAGUGCUGAGAAUUUUGAAAACCAACUUCCCAGAGCCAAAAAGAGGAGUGUUGUUGGAGCGGCAGGUAAGCCUUGCUCCAGCCUCUUGAAGUGAAGAGAGAGAUCUUAUGACUCCAAACUGAAGGAGAAGCAAGGGACUGAACCAUGGUACAGGAUAGCAAAAUUGACCCUCCCUUUCACCAUUAAAUUCCAACCAAAAUUCAUUUUCAUGAGUCUUUCCCAAUUUCUCUUUGUUAUAAUGUUUUCUCUCUUUUAUUUAAUUUCUAUUUGUCCUGCAUACAACUCAUUUGUACAUAU
rnacentral:lncRNA from 1 species